rnacentral:rRNA from 1 species
UUUGAUCCUGGCUCAGAACGAACGCUGGCGGCAGGCCUAACACAUGCAAGUCGAGCGCGCCCUUCGGGGUGAGCGGCGGACGGGUUAGUAACGCGUGGGAACGUACCCAGAUCUACGGAAUAGCCUUUGGAAACGAAGAGUAAUACCGUAUACGCCCUUCGGGGGAAAGAUUUAUCGGAUUUGGAUCGGCCCGCGUUAGAUUAGAUAGUUGGUGGGGUAACGGCCUACCAAGUCUACGAUCUAUAGCUGGUUUUAGAGGAUGAUCAGCAACACUGGGACUGAGACACGGCCCAGACUCCUACGGGAGGCAGCAGUGGGGAAUCUUAGACAAUGGGCGCAAGCCUGAUCUAGCCAUGCCGCGUGAGUGAUGAAGGCCUUAGGGUCGUAAAGCUCUUUCGCCAGAGAUGAUAAUGACAGUAUCCGGUAAAGAAACCCCGGCUAACUCCGUGCCAGCAGCCGCGGUAAUAAGGGCGAAUU